UAUCUAGCACCCAAGGUUUUAGAAGAAAGUGAUUACGGUCGAGCUGUUGACUGGUGGUGUGUGGGUGUGGUUAUGUAUGAGAUGAUUUGUGGUCGGCUGCCAUUUUAUAACAGAGACCAUGAAGUGUUGUUUCAGCUCAUUCUGACUGGAGCAAUCAAGUUUCCUCAAUGAGCGUCUUCUUUGUCAAGAUCUUUGCUAGCUGGACUGCUGGAGAAGGAUCCACGGAAAAGACUUGGUGGAGGUGAUCGUGGUGCAUCUGAUAUUAUGGAUCAUGCCUUCUAUAGCAACAUCAACUGGCAGGACAUUUACGAUCGCAAGGC